ensembl:lncRNA
GGGGGUUCUGAGAACGUUUUACUAUGGUUCCAGGGAGGUUCUGAGAACGUCUUACUAUGGUUCCAGGGAGGUUCUGAGAACGUCUUACUAUGGUUCCAGGGAGGUUCUGAGAACGUCUAACUAUGGUUCCAGGGAGGUUCUGAGAACGUCAUACUAUGGUUCCAGGGAGGUUCUGAGAACAUCUAUCUAUGGUUCCAGGGAUAUAUAAUAUAUCAAAUAUCAAAUCAAUAAAUCAAUGAAUAUCUGAUGUAAUCUAAUCCAUCUGUGUAAUAUUAUCCUAGCUGGUUUCCCACUGGUGACGAGGAGGAAGAGGAGAACCAAACCAACCUGUGGUCUGUGGAGUCGGAUCCUGACGUUAGGGUGAAGCUGUAGCAGUGCAGCUGUAGAAUACAGGGAGCUGAGUGUGUAAGGCUGUGUGUGUUGGCUUUCACACUGGGCAGGACUGUUCCACUUGUCAGACAUAUUCCAAUAUUCCACUUUUAUGUUGGUAACUUCCCCCAAAUAUCUACUGUUUAAACUGUAUUAAUGCAAUAACACAAUGAAUGUUCACAUCUAAUAAUUGUCAACAAAGGAGCUACAAUAAAAUAACAAAUAUUUAGGUCAUG